rnacentral:rRNA from 1 species
AGAGUUUGAUCAUGGCUCAGGACGAACGCUGGCGGCAUGCCUAAUACAUGCAAGUCGAGCGAACAGAUGAAGUGCUUGCACUUCUGACGUUAGCGGCGAACGGGUGAGUAACACGUAAGGAAUCUACCUAUAAGCGGGGGAUAACAUUCGGAAACGGGUGCUAAUACCGCAUAAUAUCUUCUUCCGCAUGGAAGAAGAUUGAAAGACGGCUCUGCUGUCACUUAUAGAUGACCUUGCGGUGCAUUAGUUAGUUGGUGGGGUAACGGCCUACCAAGACGAUGAUGCAUAGCCGACCUGAGAGGGUGAUCGGCCACAUUGGGACUGAGACACGGCCCAAACUCCUACGGGAGGCAGCAGUAGGGAAUCUUCCGCAAUGGGCGAAAGCCUGACGGAGCAAUGCCGCGUGAGUGAAGAAGGCCUUCGGGUCGUAAAACUCUGUUAUAAGAGAAGAACAAAUUGUAGAGUAACUGCUACAGUCUUGACGGUAUCUUAUCAGAAAGCCACGGCUAACUACGUGCCAGCAGCCGCGGUAAUACGUAGGUGGCAAGCGUUGUCCGGAUUUAUUGGGCGUAAAGGGAGCGCAGGUGGUUUCUUAAGUCUGAUGUGAAAGCCCACGGCUUAACCGUGGAGGGUCAUUGGAAACUGAGAAACUUGAGUACAGAAGAGGAAUGUGGAACUCCAUGUGUAGCGGUGGAAUGCGUAGAUAUAUGGAAGAACACCAGUGGCGAAGGCGACAUUCUGGUCUGUUACUGACACUGAGGCUCGAAAGCGUGGGGAGCAAACAGGAUUAGAUACCCUGGUAGUCC